rnacentral:rRNA from 1 species
ACUCCUACGGGAGGCAGCAGUAAGGAAUAUUGCGCAAUGGGCGACAGCCUGACGCAGCGACGCCGCGUGGGGGAUGAAGGUCUUCGGAUUGUAAACCCCUUUCGGCAGGGAAGAUGGAACGGGUAACCGUUCGGACGGUACCUGCAGAAGCAGCCACGGCUAACUUCGUGCCAGCAGCCGCGGUAAUACGAAGGCGGCAAGCGUUGUUCGGAUUUACUGGGCGUACAGGGAGCGUAGGCGGUUGGGUAAGCCCUCCGUGAAAUCUCCGGGCCUAACCCGGAAAGUGCUGAGGGGANUAANUNGGCUAGAGGAUGGGAGAGGAGCGCGGAAUUCCCG